rnacentral:rRNA from 1 species
UACGUAGGUCCCAAGCGUUGUCCGGAUUUAUUGGGCGUAAAGCGUGCGCAGGUGGUUUCUUAGGUCUGAUGUAAAAGACAGUGGCUCAACCCUUGUGUGCAUUGGAAACUGGGAGACUUGAGUGCAGGAGAGGAGAGUGGAAUUCCAUGUGUAGCGGUGAAAUGCGUAGAUAUAUGGAGGAACACCGGAGGCGAAAGCGGCUCUCUGGCCCGUAACUGACACUGAGGCUCGAAAGCGUGGGGAGCAAACAGG